rnacentral:rRNA from 1 species
GAUGAACGCUGGCGGCGUGCCUAAUACAUGCAAGUCGAGCGAACGGACGAGAAGCUUGCUUCUCUGAUGUUAGCGGCGGACGGGUGAGUAACACGUGGAUAACCUACCUAUAAGACUGGGAUAACUUCGGGAAACCGGAGCUAAUACCGGAUGAUAUUUUGAACCGCAUGGUUCAAAAGUGAAAGACGGUCUUGCUGUCACUUAUAGAUGGAUCCGCGCUGCAUUAGCUAGUUGGUAAGGUAACGGCUUACCAAGGCAACGAUGCAUAGCCGACCUGAGAGGGUGAUCGGCCACACUGGAACUGAGACACGGUCCAGACUCCUACGGGAGGCAGCAGUAGGGAAUCUUCCGCAAUGGGCGAAAGCCUGACGGAGCAACGCCGCGUGAGUGAUGAAGGUCUUCGGACCGUAAAACUCUGUUAUUAGGGAAGAACAUAUGUGUAAGUAACUGUGCACAUAUUGACGGUACCUAAUCAGAAAGCCACGGCUAACUACGUG